UACGGAGGGUGCAAACGUUGCUCGGAAUCAUUGGGCGUAAAGCGCACGUAGGCGGCCUGAUAAGUCGGGUGUGAAAGCCCUGGGCUCAACCCAGGAAGUGCACUCGAAACUGUCAGGCUUGAAUAUGGAAGAGGGUCGCGGAAUUCCCGGUGUAGAGGUGAAAUGCGCAGAUAUCGGGAGGAACACCUAUGGCGAAGGCAGCUCGCUGGGACGUUACUGACGCUGAGACGCGAAAGCGUGGGGAGCAAACAGG
rnacentral:rRNA from 1 species